GGGCCCGGAGCGCAGCUGCGGAGCCCGAGGGUCGCUGCCGGGGCCGGCAGGCGGGGGUCCGGCCAGAGCCCACCCCUGAAAAAAGCUGGAAAAGUACUUUUUCUCAUGGUUUUUCUACGGCUUCCUUCCCUGGAAGCAGCUCGGGGCGGCCGCUGCGGUGCCGGGGCCGCCGCAGGUGCGGGAGCAGCUCAGGCUGCCUCUGUUUCCAGAGCCCGUGCUGAAGGACUGCUGCUAACGCGCUGCUGGCUGCUCAUGAAUCCCAGAAACUGCUUUGCAUAACAGUUUUAUUUUCAUGCAGUAAUCUUCCCUGUUAGCUGUGUUUUCGGACUCUUUGGCAAUCAGUUCUUAAUACCUGCGCUGUUUUGCAAACUGGCUUUUUCAAGGCGUUACCGGCUUUGCUGCCGUGGAUGGGUGCCCUGUGCUCUGCAUAGGCUGUUGUGCUUUAGGGCAAAGUGGACAAGAAACUGGGGAAAAGCAGUUUACUCCUGGAUCUUAGGAAAGUUUACCACCAAAACAGGAUUCCAGUGUUUUUAAAAAACUUUUCCUUCCCCUUGAAUUGAAAUAAGAUCCAGAUCACUUUAGUAUUGGAUCUUGCUGUAAAAUCUAUUUACAUUUAUAUUUAAAUUUACGUCUAAUGCCUCGUAACUCUUUGAAGAAUAACCACCAGCCAAGCCUCUGAUGCACUGCCACUGCAAGAAAAUACUUGUGCCCAAGAAGGUUUUCAAUAUUCAUCAGUAAUGCAUUUAUAAAGAGAGAGAGCUCCUUGCAACAAUGUAAAUACAGGAGGAAAUAAAUCUAAAUAAAUCCUUUGCAUUUGCCACCCAGUCUACUUUUUAAUUCAGCUUCAUAACUAGCUGGGAGUGCAGUUGUGCUGUCACAGAGACAAGUGUGGGUGGUCCCAGCCCCAACGCAGGAGAUGCCAUUUCAGGAUAAAACCCUCCUGUGGAACUUGCCACAGGCCAUCUCUGUGCCAGCCUGACACCUUCCCUAGUGCUGUGACUUGUGUUUUCCAUGGCCACUGUGCAAGGAACAGGGAUCAAAGAACAUUGAACUCAUGUUUAGGACCCAACUAACUUUGUGUCAUUCAGUCCAGGUUGCUGAAAUGGAGUAAGUCCUUUUAUUUUGAGGCUGGUUGUCUUUGGUUUCUAGUGAGCUUUAUCUUACUGGCCAUUUUUUUCUGUUAGAAAAUGUAAAGGUUUUCUUCAAAAUAAAUGACAAUUAGAGCAGUGGAAGAUAGAAUUAUCAAUGUAUGCAUAUUUUUAGAUAUAAACACAUAUCCUUUGAAGUUCAAUUUGGAGAAGACAGAAAUUUAGUUGGGUUUAUUUUUCACAUAAGCUUUUUUUGAGUCCAUUUUUUCUGGCAGUAUUUUUUUUUAUAAUGUGGGAAGAAAAAAAUUGUGUGGUGCCUGAGUUACUGGAGGAUCUGUUCAGUGACAGACCCCAUUGUUAUCACUCUCUGUCUCUGCUGAUUUCAAGUUCCAGACUGGGUGUACCAAGAGGCACAGGCUGCUGUGAAAAGGUGGCAACUCUGCCCUGCAGGAACAGCCCAGAAAGGAGCAGGGGAAUCCCAAUGGAUAAAACACAACACGGAGACAUGCCUUUGCACCCACUGCUUUUAAUGAUCUUGGUACUUUAACCCUUUUAGCCUCAACAUGAAGGAGGUUUGAGUCUAUUUUGUGGACUGGUUAAGUGUAUUGCACAAGCCCUCAGUGGAGGGGCCAGAGGCUGCACAGGGAGCCAGCAGCUCUGGGAUGGGGGUGGCUGCCAAGCACAGCCUGCAAGCUUGGAACAGCUCUCCUGUUUCCAUGUGCUGUCCCCUCCAAGCUCUUCCAAGGUCCUUGUUACCAGAUAGAAAGAUGAAGACUUUCAAAAUUUGGUCCAAAACAAAUGGGGCUCCAAGAGCUCAUGAACCUUGGAAAUUCUGCUCAAGGUGAGAAUCAUAGCAACUAGCUUAAGGGAUGAGAUCCCAAAUGCAAACAGCCUAAAAAAAACUAAACUUUACUUUAGAGCCACUCCUGUGGUAACAUCCCAGGAGGCAGAGAAUGGCCCAGGAACUGGAUACAGAUUACCUGGGAAGAAAGAGACUUCUUAUAGCUUUCACUGGCAUGGUUCAAUACAGUAUUAAACAAAAUUAAAUUAAAAUAAAAUUAUUAUAUAUCUUAUUAUUGUAAGAUUAUUAUAUUCCUACUACUGUGAGAGGAACUCGGUGUCUAUCUAUAUGAGACAUCUCUUUCUCUUUCCUUGAUGUGCAUUGCCCCAGUGGAAGCUGCAAUUUUCAGCCAAAUUCAGAUCCUCAAAAGCCUAACAGUGAUAUUUCUAGGGACUCAUGAUAAUGAUAACAUUUUCAAAAACCCUUCAAUGUAUGCAGCAAUAUCAAACUCAAUUCCACCUGUACGUUUUUUAGGAUUUUGAAAUCUUUCAGGUCUGAAAACAGCAAUUUCUUACUGGAUGUUUAGAAAGCCCACCCUGCCAGGGACCAUGUGUGCAAGGAACCCCUGCACAGAGCCCUAACACAUCGAGUCUCCCUACUCUUCAGUCAGGAUUCUGUAAACGAUGCUGGCUCACAGGGCUUCCCCCUGUUCUGUGAAGCUAGGAGCCAUGCCCUGAUCCUUGGAGAAUCCAGGCUCCUUGCCAAAAACCAGGGGUUUGAAAACCUGGGGCCACUCAGAGCUGCCAGGCUCCCUGCCAUGAGGCAGAGAUCUGAGCAGAGCUCUGAAAGGUGUGGCAGAUUCUGGCACAGUUGGGAACUCUCAAACCCUCACUUGCUCCAGGCCUAAUGGAGACUGGGUAGCCAAAAAGCCCUGGAGUUUGACUCACCCAUGAGCUGCACACUUGGAAUCACAACUGCAGCUUGGUUUCUAUAUUUUCAAAAUAAAACUAUUCUAAUUAUUUGAAACAUACUGCUACUUUUUUCUUUCUCUUCUGCUUUCACAGGAAAUUCAGAAAAUCAAUUUCCAUUCUAUGCUCAAGUUCACUCCCCUUUCUGGGAACUGGUAUUUCAUGAAGACAGAAAUCUCCAUUUUCAGUCAGCUCCACUCAUGAAGUCUAACCAGAAUGCAGGAAAAGCCAUUACAAUUAACAUGUAAGAGUAAUAAGGACAUAAUAGAAUACAUUCAGCAGGGAAUUGCCUCGCUGACCCUGCAGCCCAACAUCCCAGCAGGCUUCUCAAACAGUUCCUUCACCCCUGAGCAACAAAACAACAGGAGGCCUUUCUCAAUGGAAGUGCCAGACAGAUUGCAGCAACAGGAGCAAUGUUUUUAUUGUCUUAGCACACUGGACCUUUACAAAUUUUUGAACUCCCUCGGAAGCAGCAAUCAUGGGAAAGUAACAGAAGUUAAGUGGUUUAGCCUCUGCCACAAACAAGGCAGUGGUAGACCUGGGAUUAGAUAGCAACAGUAGUUCUUAGUCUUGGUAAACAAUAAAGAAACUCUUUCUAAGCAGCCAUUAAUGUCUGGUUAUUAGGCUGAAGAGUAGCAAGUUUUGAUUUUCCAGCAUUAAAAUUCCCCUGGAAUUCCUCCAGAGUCCUCUAAUGAACAGAUGAUCUCAACUUUAAUCUUACUUCAUAAUUAUCCAUGGGUAACAUUUCAACAUGGACUCCUUAAGCACAUGUAAUUUCUAGAGCAAGUAAUAUUCAAACUAAUUCAUUUCUCCUUUGAUGCACAAGAUGAGAGCACUGAGAAGCAACCAGCAACAAGGGGAUGUUGAGGGUACACUGAGGAGACAGAAACUACAAAGGUCAGAGUAAAUGCAAUGGUUUCAUCCCACACUGUCAAGAUCUUUGAUCUUCAGUCUCUGUUCAUUUUUUUAAGAAGCUGGCAUGUCUUUAUGCUGACCUUUGAAUUGCUCAUGAAGGACUCAAAUCUGACAUAUAUCUGCAUUCUUGAGAUGAACUUGCACCAAAAAUUUAGAGCUUUUUUCCUAGCAACCUGGAUAUGACAACCUUUUUGAGACAGACUUGAGAGACACUUCCAUUUUCACCAAUAGUAGUCUGUAAGAAAAAAAAAAAAAAAACAAGAAAAAAAAAACCCCCCAAACCCAAACUUCAGGCUUCACAGAUUCUUUUCCACUCACUUGGAGUUGCCCUAUAGCUUAAUAAUUCUAGAGGUUUGUUUCAAAACUUCUAUUUUAACUUUGUGAUGUUUGGAGAGGGAUACCCUGAGGGAUUCUUGCUUCUGGCAACAAGUACUCAGAACACAGCAGAAGUCUCACUCUGAGGACAGGAGGGAGUCUGCCUUGGGCACUGUGUUCCAAACCAGGACUAAGGUGUUCCAACUGCAAACAAAAAUCUCUUUCAGAUCCAAAGGCAGAGAGCUUGAUCACUGUGGAUCUUUGGCACAAAUACAGACAAUGGAAGUGAACCUUCAUAAUCUUUCUGAACUGACUUUUAAGGAGAUACCUGAGCUGUUGAAAGAUAAGAGUUCUUCCAUGUUCUUUCUAAUGCUGACAGUAAAGGUGGUUGUGAGGGGAGAGAAACCACUUCCCCUCUCCAACAAACUCAUGCUGUAAAUGAGCCAAAGGCAGCAGGGAGAGAUAGAGCCUGGACAGAGAGGGAGAAGAAUCUGCAAGACAUCCAGAAAGAAGAGCCAGGGAACCACUGAAACAUUCCACUUGAGGAUAAAAAGGAAAAGAGGGCUGGCUGGGAAAAUGGGUCCAACAUAACUGGUAGAUGCAUCAGAGGCUUAAAUGCUUGGGGUUGAAGAUUCCAGACCAGACUUCAACUGGAAGGAAAAUGUUUAUGAUAAGAACAGGGAGAGGCAAGUUCCCACUUCCCCUGAUGACCCAUUGUUCCCCUCUCUGAUAGCUCUUGCCUCAGUUUCCAGAUGAUAUAUUGUUUUCCAAGCUACUUUGUCCAUUGUUCUGACAGCAGCCAGGUUUUGUUCAUGCUACUGAAACCUCCCAAUGCUCAGAAACAGUCAUGACAAAUUUUAAACAACUUGUACAGCUGGGAUUAUAAUACAAUUUAGGAAGUUAGAUGGUAAACAUUCUGUGCAUUCUGAAUACCUGCUCCUCUUCCUUCCCUUACUGAUAGUUCAGCUGCCUUUUUAUUGUUCAAAUGCAGUGAGCUGGAUUGGUAGAGGCUUUGAAAGUUCUGAGCCUUCCAAAUUACAUUCCCAAACUUCCCAUCAGCUAUGUCCAAAGUCAGCAUUUCAAAUGCAAAUCACUGUUUACAAGUUUCCUGUCCCUUCAGACUUCCCUCUCUCAAAAUCCCUGUCUGGAGCUUCCCAGUUUCUCUGUAUUGACAUUUAUUAGCCUGAAUGCAGCUCAGUGUGCUUGUAAAGAGAUGGGAUUUAUGUAUGUCUCAAUACAUCAUUUACAAUGGCAGUCUCUACUUAAUUAAUUAUGAUCUGAAUGGUUAUGGCUAGCAUUAAAAAUCAUUCUAAACCAGAGCAAAAUCAAUAAAAGUUCAAUUGACUCUUACUACACUAUUUGUUCUACUACUUUACUUCCUUAAAAACACAAACCAGGGGGGAAAGUCCACAGCUUCCCUCCAUUACAAGGAGGUUAAAGUAAAUAAUAGAACAUUAUCUGCUCAGAAUAUAACACACUCAUGAGAAGCAACAGCCUCCAAGUACCAGCUUAGCUAACUGAUUAUUGCCAUUGUAGCCCUUACAAACUGUACCAACAAAACAGGCAAAAUUAGUGACUUGCAGCAAACAGACAAAGGUUUGGUACUUACUCAUGUAUUGAUUGAUCUGGCAGUUCACAAUUAAUUAAUAAAUGCUAACUGUAGUACCAAAUCAUAAGAAACAGCAUUAUUCUUAAGCAUAAACAUAAUUUUGUUCAAAGAGUAUCUUGACAUAACUUUACACUAUUACCUCUUUGUAAAACCCUAGGAUUUUAUUAUUUACAGCAUAUCCUCUCAAUCACAGCCUCAAAAAUAGUCCUGUAAUGAAAUAACCACAGAACUGUAUGUUAGACACAAAAGGGUUCACAUUGGAAAAAAGAAAUCACAAGACUAUUAUUAUACAGGCAAUACAGUUUUAUUCUGUUCUUUCACCAAUUGUAGCAAAAACAUUUAACAACUGAAUGAAUAAUCAAGGGAACUUAAUUGUCAACAGGAAUUUCAGAAUUAUGUUCUAAAUUUUAGACCAGGAAGGCUUGACAGGGAGAAAACAAACCAUAUACACACUUGUAAUAAUAGUCUCUAUUAUGAAGAUUUAAUGCCUUCUUUAAAAGCACUGAGAUUAUUGAGGCACCUUACUGCAGG